GACGAACGCUGGCGGCGGGCUUAACACAUGCAAGUCGAACGGUAAGGCCCUUCGGGGUACACGAGUGGCGAACGGGUGAGUAACACGUGGGUGAUCUGCCCUGCACUUCGGGAUAAGCCUGGGAAACUGGGUCUUAUACCGGAUAGGACCACUGCCUGCAUGGGUGGGGGUGGAAAGCUUUUGCGGUGUGGGAUGGGCCUGCGGCCUAGCAGCUUGUUGGUGGGGGGAUGGCCUACCAAGGCGACGACGGGUAGCCGGCCUGAGAGGGUGAACCGGGCAAACUGGGACUGAGGGACGGCCCAGACGCCAACGGGGGGCAGCAGUGGCGAAUAUUGCACAAUGGGCGCACGCCUGAUGCAGAGGCGCCGGGUGAGUGAUGAAGGUCUUCGGGUUGUAAAGCUCUUUCAGCACCGACGAAGCGCAAGUGACGGUAGGUGCAGAAGAAGGACCGGCCAACUACGUGCCAGCAGCCGCCGUAA
rnacentral:rRNA from 1 species